rnacentral:antisense_RNA from 1 species
AGCCAUGGUCAGCUCCUUCUUAGCUGCUUGUGGUUAGCGGGCCGUAGGUGUUGACGCACCUACGGCCCGCGUC